CCUACGGGAGGCUGCAGUAGGGAAUCUUUCACAAUGGGCGAAAGCCUGACGGAGCAACGCCGCGUGCAGGAUGAAGGCCUUCGGGUUGUAAACUGCUUUUAUCAGCGAGAAAUAUUAUGGUUACUUAUCAAUAAUGAUCGGCUAACUCCGUGCCAGCAGCCGCGGUCAUACGUAGGAUCCGAGCAUUAUCCGGGGCGUCUGGGUGUAAAGAGUUGCGUAGGUGGCAAAAUAAGUAGCUAGUGAAAUCUGGUGGCUCAACCAUUCAGACUAUUAGCUAAACUGUUAAGCUCGAGACCGUUAGGGGUAACUGGAAUUUCUAGUGUAGGAGUGAAAUCCGUAGAUAUUAGAAAGAACACCGAUGGCGUAGGCAGGUUACUGGGACGGGUCUGACACUAAGGCGCGAAAGCGUAGGGAGCAAACGGGAUUAGAUACCCUAGUAGUC
rnacentral:rRNA from 1 species